AUUGACGUUAGUGACUGCUUUGUAAAUCUUACACGACGUAUUCGCUGUAUAAAGUUUCCAACAAAACGAAGAUUUCACAAUCACAACACAAUCACGAUGAAUUUAAAAGUUUCUUCUAAAACUUACACCGAGCAACAACGAAUAAAUACGUAUAAAGUUUUGGCAAAAUAUAGGAAAAGAAAUAUGCUGAUGUUUGGUGCCUUGCUAGGUUCAGUUUGUGGUAUUUAUGCAUACUCCAUGCUGGCAGUAAAACAAGAAAAUUUCGAAGAUUUUGAGAAGUGAGGUGACCUUAUUAUUGACAAAUAAUGGAUUGUGAGUUGUACCCUUUUGAGCAAUAAUCUCAUUUUAUUUUAUUUCAAAAUUGUUACAUGAAGUGACGAUGUGAUGGAAACACUUGUCUCAACACCAUAUACCUCUGUUUACGUCUAAUGUUAUAUAGUCUAAUGUGAUAUCACGAAAUUUAGCUAAUAAUCAAUUGAAUUUCUAAUACAUCAAAUCAAUUCCAAA